rnacentral:snRNA from 1 species
ACUAGAGCAAUUCGAAAUGCA